UACAGGGGGUGCAAACGUUGCUCGGAAUUAUUGGGCGUAAAGCGCACGUAGGCGGCGCCGUAAGUCAGGGGUGAAAUCCCGGAGCUCAACUCCGGAACUGCCCUUGAAACUGCAGUGCUAGAAUCUUGGAGAGGCGAGUGGAAUUCCGAGUGUAGAGGUGAAAUUCGUAGAUAUUCGGAAGAACACCAGUGGCGAAGGCGACUCGCUGGACAAGUAUUGACGCUGAGGUGCGAAAGCGUGGGGAGCAAACAGG
rnacentral:rRNA from 1 species